UGACUGACACCCAUGUGAAAGAAUUGCUUCGAGUGGCAACAACGGAGUACGAGCCAGAUUUGAGGAGGAUUGUUCAAGGGAAGGAAUGCCAGAAGUCCCACUAAGCAACAUGCAUAGUAAGAGAAAAAUGCUAUUG